rnacentral:rRNA from 1 species
UACGUAUGUCGCAAGCGUUAUCCGGAUUUAUUGGGCGUAAAGCGCGUCUAGGCGGAAAAAUAAGUCUGAUGUUAAAAUGCGGGGCUCAACUCCGUAUUACGUUGGAAACUGUUUUUCUAGAGUACUGGAGAGGUGGGCGGAACUACAAGUGUAGAGGUGAAAUUCGUAGAUAUUUGUAGGAAUGCCGAUGGAGAAGUCAGCUCACUGGACAGAUACUGACGCUGAAGCGCGAAAGCGUGGGGAGCAAACAGG